rnacentral:piRNA from 1 species
ACACAAUACACCGGGGGGACCAUGAUGC